rnacentral:rRNA from 1 species
GAUGAACGCUGGCGGCGUGCUUAACACAUGCAAGUCGAACGGUGAACGAGGGAGCUUGCUCCCUCCGGAUCAGUGGCGAACGGGUGAGUAACACGUGAGCAAUCUGCCCUGGACUCUGGGAUAAGCGUUGGAAACGACGUCUAAUACCGGAUACGAGGCGUGGGGGCAUCCCCAACGCCUGGAAAGAACUUCGGUCCAGGAUGAGCUCGCGGCCUAUCAGGUAGUUGGUGAGGUAAUGGCUCACCAAGCCUACGACGGGUAGCCGGCCUGAGAGGGUGACCGGCCACACUGGGACUGAGACACGGCCCAGACUCCUACGGGAGGCAGCAGUGGGGAAUAUUGCACAAUGGGCGAAAGCCUGAUGCAGCAACGCCGCGUGAGGGACGACGGCCUUCGGGUUGUAAACCUCUUUUAGCAGGGAAGAAGCGAAAGUGACGGUACCUGCAGAAAAAGCACCGGCUAACUACGUGCCAGCCGCCGCCGUAAGAC